UGUCUCUGAUGAAAGUGGGGGAUGAACACUGAACCAAACCCACACUGCUCAGCACAUUUGAUGCGGCCAGAAACAGACUGCCAAGGCUGAGAAAGCUUUUCAGGGGCCGUCUGGCUGUGUGGGUGCGAAGACCUGGCUGUAUUUGGAAUCACCUGGGAAGACUUACAAAAAUGGUUUCCAAGCCUCACCCGCAAGGAUUCUGACUUGGCAAUGGAAGAAUGAAAGGCAACCCAGAGUGAAAUUAGGAUUACAAUUUUACAAACGUCUGUUUCUGACGCAGAAAGCACAUCAUUUGUCCACAUCACACUCUCUUGGAAUUUAUGACAAAGCCAGGUAAAUGAAAACUUGGAAAGAUAAACCUCAGAUAAGGGGGACUACUGUAUUCAUUCCUUCACCAUGGCGUGUCUGUGUCUGAGAAUCUACCCUUAAAAACAAUCUGGAUGCAAAGAAGCCGUGAGAUAGAGCGCAGUCCCUUCAUUUCAUAAAAGAAUGAAACUAACUCAAAUACACAAG
rnacentral:lncRNA from 1 species